rnacentral:rRNA from 1 species
AGAGUUUGAUCCUGGCUCAGGACGAACGCUGGCGGUGUGCUUCACACAUGCAAGUCGAACGAGGUAGCAAUACCUAGUGGCGGACGGGUGAGUAACGCGUGGGAAUCUGCCUUAAGAUGGGGGAUAACGGGCCGAAAGGCUCGCUAAUACCGCAUAUGCCGAAAGGUGAAAGGAGUAAUCCGUCUUAAGAUGAGCCCGCGUCCGAUUAGCUAGUUGGUAGGGUAAAGGCCUACCAAGGCGACGAUCGGUAGCUGGUCUGAGAGGAUGAUCAGCCACACUGGGACUGAGACACGGCCCAUACUCCUACGGGAGGCAGCAGUGGGGAAUUUUGCGCAAUGGGGGAAACCCUGACGUAGCGACACCGCGUGAGCGAAGAAGCCCCUUGGGGUGUAAAGCUCUGUCAGCUGGAACGAAAAAAAAUGACGGUACCAGCAGAGGAAGCAUCGGCUAACUACGUGCCAGCAGCCGCGGUAAGACGUAGGAUGCGAGCGUUGUCCGGAUUUAUUGGGCGUAAAGAGUUCGUAGGUGGUUUGUCAAGUCUGAUGUUAAAGAUCGGGGCUCAACCCUGGGACUGCAUUGGAUACUGGCAGACUUGAGUGUGGUAGAGGCUAGUGGAAUUCCCAGUGUAGCGGUGAAAUGCGUAGAUAUUGGGAAGAACACCGGUGGCGUAGGCGACUAGCUGGGCCAUAACUGACACUGAGGAACGAAAGCCAGGGUAGCGAAUGGGAUUAGAUACCCCAGUAGUCCUGGCCGUAAACGAUGGAUACUAGGCGUAUCGGGUAUCGACCCCUGAUGUGCCGCAGCUAACGCGAUAAGUAUCCCGCCUGAGUAGUACGGCCGCAAGGUUGAAACUCAAAGGAAUUGACGGGGGCCCGCACAAGCG